rnacentral:rRNA from 1 species
UACAGAGGUCCCGAGCGUUGUUCGGAUUCAUUGGGCGUAAAGGGUGCGUAGGCGGUCUGCUAAGUUUGAUGUGAAAUCCCGGGGCUCAACCCUGGAAUGCCAGUGGAAACUGUCGAGCUAGAGUCCGGAAGAGGCGAGUGGAAUUCCUGGUGUAGCGGUGAAAUGCGCAGAUAUCAGGAGGAACACCAAUGGCGAAGGCAGCUCGCUGGGACGGUACUGACGCUGAGACGCGAAAGCGUGGGGAGCAAACAGG